UCUCUCUUUCUCUCUCACUCUCUCACUCUCCCAGUCGACUCGACGAAACCACCACCACACCACCUCCAAAUGGCCGCCGUCCGCAACCCCUACCUCAAUCGAUCUCUCUCUCCCCUCCCUCUCCGUUCCUUUCUCUCUGUGUCCCUCGCUCUCUGUCUCUCUCCCUCAUUCAGUCUCAGUGAGUGAGUUGAGUGAGAGAAAAACGGAUUUUCUCACGCUCUCUGGCCGCAUCCACCUGCAAGAGACACAAGAGAGGUAAUUUUCCGUAUGAUUUUGAGUUGAGGUUUGGUAAUGUCGAAUCAGGGUUUCAAUCAGCAAUGGGGAUAUGUUCAUCAGUGGGCUUGUGAUUGGGAAUAGCAAGAGUUACAUAUUUAAGUGUCUGAUCUCUCUUUGCCGAUUGCACAAUUGUUUUUUGUGAGAAUAAUGGAAGGGGAGAAGCAGCUUAGCAUACUUUAUCAAAAACAAGGUCGUGCCAUCCAGUUUUCAAGUAAAGCUGCUCGUGACAAAUGUCUCCAAAAGGAAAUUGAUGAUCUCGAGCGAGUUCUUUCUUCAAGUUUGGCACAGAUGUUCCAGGAGCAAAAAAACUUCAGGAUGAACUUAAACAGCUUAAUGCUGAGUUGAGCGAGCGGGAUGCCUACAUUGAUUCUCGAGGAAGAGAGAUUGCUACUAUUGAAUUGAAUCUCUCAUCUCUCAGUCAGAUGCAGUGUUCAAUCAUCAUAAGUCACAGAGGGACAAGUUGCAGGAUGAGCACAAGUCCCUGUGGAAGAAUGAAACUGAACUUUCUGCUGAAAUUGAGAAGCAGAUAGCAGCAGUUGAGAAGGCUGAAAAGUGCCUGGAUCAUGCAACUGCUGGUGUGAGUAAUUGCUUUCCUAACCCUUUGUAACUUCCAGUGUGCUAAACAUGGCUGUCUCGUUGAUGUAUAAGCCCAAGUAACAGUAAUUCUGAAAGUAUGUCUUUUGAUAUGCAUGCCAUGGAUGUGUCAUGCAUAACUUUUUUAUAUUUAUUUAUGUGCUCUGUUUGCUGACUGACA